UUCGUUUCGUUUUUAUAGUUCAAAAUUUCGUUUUACUUGUCUUUACUACACUUGGAUCUGGAAGAGUUGUUAUUUAACUCGUGUUCUGAAUAGUGUCAGGGAUAAGCCAAUGAAACGGUCUGUUACGACGAGCUUUAGGCGUGUUUUUCACGGAACUGUGAGUAAUCCACUAGUAAGAUCAAUGCUAAUUGGUUAAUCAAAUGUCUGACGUCAUAGGGUCAUAAGUCGGUCUUUUGACCCCUGACGUGACCUAUCGCUAUAACUUGUCAGAUCUUCAUGUAGUGUAGGCCAUCGAAAGUAUAAAAAAAACGAAACGAAAUAUAGAUCUAUAUUUUAAUCAGAUUGUGGCAUGUCAAUACUCGAAGUCAGGGAAACGAGUAUGCCAAAUUUCACAUUGAUCUUGCUUGCAUUGGAGGGGCCUUCAGAAGAAGAGUAUCCCUUGGGGUCCUAGUCCUGGCCAAAACAUUGAGACAUAGAUAUGAGUUCUUGCUAGUAGGUGGUCUAUAGUCAAGCUUACUUUUGAAGACGAUAUUGUUACGCAUAUAAAGUACCCCUCCUCCACCACGGUGGCUUGGUGAGUAAGACGCUGACUCGCUAGCCUGGGGGUUCGAUGUUCGCUUCCGGUGUUGACAGAGAAAGUUCAUCAGGAUUUUCCGGCGUGGUUUCCCCUUGUCAGUGGUGCAGGACGGGGGGCCUGGCAAGGACAGCUGUCUAGUCGUUCGCAUGGGACGAAAACCCGAGGUCCCGUGUACACAUUGGCAUGCACGUAAAAGAUCCCUUGGCAGUUAGAAUCCGAUAUAAGGGUAGGCCGUAGCGCAGCUGACUGAGCUAAAUUUCCUUUAUAGUAAACUGCAUUACGUAUAUACCGGUCUUCAUUAGCCCAGUCGGAACAGUAGAACGUUAAACCCCAUUUCAUUUCCAAAGGGCGUGGUCACAGCUGAUUUUACAUAUACACGGAGAACAAGCUCCCAUAGGCGAGAAUAACUUAAAUAUUGAAUUAAACAAGCAUACCGAAAACAUAAAGGGCGUGUGUACGUCAGGAUUUAUUAGGAGGAUCACGUGGCUAAGCGGGUAAGACACUGGCUCGCUAGCCUGGAGGUCAGGUGUUCGAUCCCUGGAUUGGCCGAGAAAGUUCUACCAGAUUUUCCAGCGUGGUUUCCCCUUGUCAGAGAUGCAGGAUGGAGGGCCUGAGAAGGACAGCUGUCUAAUCGUUCGGAUGGGACGAAAAACAGAGGCCCCGUGUACACAUUGGCGUGCACGUAAAAGAUCCCUUGGCAGUUGGAAUUCGAUAUAAGAGUAGGCCGUAGCACCGCUGCCCGGGCAAAAUUUCCCUCAUAGCACACUGUAUGGCGUAUGCCCGUCUUCAUUAGCUCAGGUUAGGAGCAGAACAUUUCAUUUCAUUUCAGGAAUUUUUAAAAUCCAUUAUUGGUACAAGACGUGUUAUCUCCCUUUAUGACAAAUGUCGGCAAUUAUUGCAUACUGCACGCAGCGACCCAUCUGCGUCAUACUUCCCAGAAUGUGACACUGCCCUGAUUACCCGCCAUUUAAAACGCUCACGUGAUCAUUUUGGGGCGGGACUUAUCGACUAGACACCGUUCUGUUUAGACAACAGAGUAAAAAUAACCCAAGCACGUGUGUUUUAUGUAAACACGCCAUGUCGCUGACACUCGCGUAAAAGCGAUAUAUAAUAUGUGCUAUGGGUAAUAUUGCAAUAAAUUCUUUACCAUUGUAAACUGUCUUUAGAGUUUCAAUCUGUUUAUCUUUCAAAACAAGGUUAGAUACUCCUAAAUUUGUUUUCGCAAACAAAACCGCCUCUGUGAAAUUAUGUUUUAUGGGCGCCGCCAUAUUGAAUAAUUAGAGGACUAUUUUGUGAUUCGGCUUUGAUUAGUUUGACAUCUUUCAUACACACAGCGGCUAAAUAAACAUAUUUAAUUUCAUUCAAUAUGACAAUAGAAGAGAAAUAAAUACUUUUAAAAAUUUCUAAAAGCAUACUCAGUGUUUUCGACUAAAAUCGUCGAUGUAGGAAUUAAAAUGUCGGUUAAUUAGCUUAGGGCCUAUUCUCAGCCGGAGCUAGCUGUAGAUAGGCAGCCUAAGUUUGGGAUGCAAUUAUUGAAAACAGUAUUUCUAUCACGUUCCACACUGAUCCGCAGUGAAUAUUCGCAGGCUACUACAAUCACUGAGAGGGGUGACAUCGAUGCGACUUAAUAAGCCCCCAAUAUUAACUUUUUUCCUUCUGCAAUUGAAUCCUAGAACAUAUUGUUGAAAGAUGAGAAAAAUAUAUAAAAGUGGGCCUACCAGUUAAAGAUGGGUUUCCGCGUACAAACUGGGUGAUUUAAUGAUAUAUAUGGACCGAAAACAUAUUCAAACUAAUUAAUUUGUCAUAAUUAUGCUUCAAAUCCUUCUCAAACAUUGUAAUUGCGAAGGAAUGCCCUGCUAUUAAAAUUCGAUCAAACCAGGCCAUGUUUACGUCACGUCUUGGGAGUCAGAGGAGAAUUCAUUGCAUAUGUGGUAGUGUAUAUUUGUGUAUAUUUGUAUUUAUUGUAUCUUGAAUAUUUGUUGUAUUAUUGUCCCUUUAAUAUAUUAGUUAUUUAUGGUAUAUUUGGUGUUCGUUGUAUUGUCCCUUUAAUAGUCCAUCUCUAAGCUGGUUAAGAAUAUCUUUACAACAGCAAGUCUAAACUCUACUCACUUUUAACUCACUAAAAUAACCACAUCUCAGCUUCUCUUUCAAAUCUCACUUGCAACUUAACCUUGUUACAAGGAGGAUCACAUUCUGUCACUUGUCUUUGUGUCAUACUGUGUCUGUAUGGUAGCCAUAUUUAAGACAUCAACCCUAUUAUAAACUCCUAUUUUAUAGGAGUUUUUUUUAUAUGUAUACUAAAUUGAUGAUCCACAAUAAAAUCCUGAACCCAUGACCUGGUGUUUUGUUCGUCUUUGUGAAUAGAACCCUGCUACACAUACAUAAGACGAUGUUGUCUUUAAUCGCUUACUAUUUAUUACAAAUAUCGAAUCCUAAUUAAAUUCUCGGAUUAUCCACUACCCGCGUCUUUUUCCGUCAUUUUGAUCUCAGAAAGUAUUGUACGUUUAACUCUUCAUAAAGUUUAUCAACUUGUACAUCAAGCGCUCAAUGUUCGCUUGUGACCUUUGACAUCACGCGUGCAGAAGUUCUUAAUCGUCGGGCUGUUGAUUAGGGGAACCCUUACAUUUUUGUCCUGUAUACGCUCCAUGAGUGUUUUUCGGGGAAUCCAGUAUUUUUCUAGUAAGAUUGGAUAUCUCUACUUUCCAUAUAUACCAAA